rnacentral:rRNA from 1 species
CGGGCUGCUGCAGCAGUGAGGAAUAUUGCACAAUGGGGGGAACCCUGAUGCAGCAACGCCGCGUGGAGGAUGACGCAUUUCGGUGUGUAAACUCCUUUUAUAUGUCAAGAAAAUGACGGUAGCAUAUGAAUAAGCACCGGCUAACUCCGUGCCAGCAGCCGCGGUAAUACGGAGGGUGCAAGCGUUACUCGGAAUCACUGGGCGUAAAGGACGCGUAGGCGGGCUUGUAAGUCAGGUGUGAAAUCCUACAGCUUAACUGUAGAACCGCACUUGAAACUACGAGCCUAGAGUAUGGGAGGGGCAGAUGGAAUUAGUGGUGUAGGGGUAAAAUCCGUAGAUAUCACUAGGAAUACCUAAAGCGAAGGCGAUCUGCUGGAACAUAACUGACGCUAAGGCGUGAAAGCGUGGGGAGCAAACAGGAUUAGAUACCCGCGUAGUC